rnacentral:rRNA from 1 species
AAAGAAACCAACAGGGAUUGCCUCAGUAACGGCGAGUGAAGCGGCAAGAGCUCAAAUUUGAAAGCUGGCUCCUUCGGGGUCCGCAUUGUAAUUUGCAGAGGAUGCUUCGGGCAUGGCCCCCGUCUAAGUGCCCUGGAAGGGGCCGUCAUAGAGGGUGAGAAUCCCGUCUGGGACGGGGUGUCCGUGUCCAUGUGAAGCUCCUUCGACGAGUCGAGUUGUUUGGGAAUGCAGCUCUAAAUGGGUGGUAAAUUUCAUCUAAAGCUAAAUACUGGCCGGAGACCGAUAGCGCACAAGUAGAGUGAUCGAAAGAUGAAAAGCACUUUGAAAAGAGAGUUAAACAGCACGUGAAAUUGUUGAAAGGGAAGCGUUUGCGACCAGACUCGCCCGCGGGGUUCAGCCGGCAUUCGUGCCGGUGUACUUCCCCGUGGGCGGGCCAGCGUCGGUUUGGGCGGCCGGUCAAAGGCCUCCGGAAUGUAUCACCUCUCGGGGUGUCUUAUAGCCGGGGGUGCAAUGCGGCCUGCCUGGACCGAGGAACGCGCUUCGGCUCGGACGCUGGCGUAAUGGUCGUAAAUGAC